GAGCUUGGGCAGUAAGAAAUCUGAGCCGGAGGGUGAGAAAAACAGAGAGGAGCGGAUGCAUUUUUUUCUUUUUACAGAGAACAGGGUGGGAGGUAACGAUUCUGGACAGAAAACCAUGGUAAGCUGAGCUUAGACCAUGGGUGAGCUGUAAGAGUGAGAGAGAACGGAGGAGAAGGGUUUUCUAGAGAGAGCUAAAACAGAGGAAGAAAAAUGAAGUGAGAGCAAGGAGGAGAGAGUGAGCUGGGGAAGACAUCUGAAACAAGAGGAGCUAUAGGGAGGUGAUUUUGAGCUGAGCAGGGGAGUGAGUUGGAUUUUGAGAGGGUUUGAGGCUGUGAAAAUGAGCUGAACAGUGAGAGGGGCAGAGGAGAGAAAGGGAGUGGGUUUGCUGCGGUUUUGAUUUAAGCUUAGGAGAAGAAGCAGAGCAGCUUGAAGCCCAGUUAGUUCCGCUGGAGGGGAGCAUUUCCUGGUACGUUUGCUAGACCACGUAUUGAUUGCAGUUGAUUUUCUUUGGGUUGCUGUGACUGUGUUAUAAUAAAUCCAUGCUUGGUUCUUUAUUUGAAAUUUGUUUAAGAGUGAUCUAGCUCAUUUUUAGCUUUCCUUUGAGUGUCCAAGUCAUAUUUUCGAUCUUAUUUUCACCUGGUUUUUCCCACCCACACAUAAGCCCAUCGACUUCAAUAUGAGAAGGGGCUCGGUUUAAUGUCUUCUUUGGCUCAUUUGAUGCUCUGUUUUUCCCUGAAAAUUUACCAUGAGUGGGUUCUACAUUUCAUGUGCACCAAAAAGGUGCUUAUGUUUUUCUCUAGUUUCUGAUUUUCUGAGCGCCCAAACAGUAAAAAUGCAGAAUUAGUUCUAUCGUUUUUGGUGUUUUUUUUCACUUUAUUCAUGAAAUUUCUGAUUGUGUAUUGAAAUUGUAUAUUAUUACAUUGUUUUUGGUUGGAUGCUUCCUUUAAAUGCUUGAAAUCUUCAUUUUUUUUAUUGCCCGGAAUGGAAUUUUUGGUCAUAUUUGAUGAUAUAUGAGUGCAUAACAAAUGUUUGCAUGUCCAAAUUUACAAUAUUUUAUAAAUUUACACCUGCAACUUAGGUUGUGCCUCAUUUUUCUUUGGUGCUCCUUGGGUGUUGUCCCUUGCAGUUUAGGCACUAGGAGUCUUCUGCACCUUGUACCUUUCAUAUUUCAUUGCAAUCCUAUUUAGGGAAAAUAACACUAACUUGCCUUAAGGUUUGUUGUUAGAAUUAUAGUGACCUCCCCUCACAUUUGAAAAAAGAUGCUAUUCUCACUCAAGGUUUGAUAUAACUAAAGCAGUGAUAAACACAACAGACAUGUAAUGUGGUCCGGUUCCUUUUUUACAAUCGUAAUUCUCAGAGGAUUUCUUCACCAAUUAGGGUUUUUCUUUGAUUAUGUAGGAGUUUAGCUUUAAGUAUUCCUACAGUGGAUGAGGCUUUUUAAUUGGUCUUGUGGCUGAGAUAUGCAUCUGUUAUUUCCUUAGAUUACUUUUUCCAUUCGGUUGAUUGGGAGGAACGUUUCCAAAUGUGUCCUAGUGCAUUUUUCUUAGACCACUUUCUGAUCAUUUCUUUUUACUGUGGUGGGGCUAGGAUUUGGAGAUGGAGAUGUUCUUUCAGGUUGGAGAACAGUAGGCUUCGAGUGCAUACAGUGCAUGAGUUUGGAGGCUAUCAGUUUACAGGUCUCUCCAGUUUUGUCCUUUGCUAGAAAGUUGAAGGCUCUGAAAGAUGAUCUGAAACAUGGACUAGAGAGGUCUUUGACACUGUUCCCUUUCAUAAAGUUUGUGUCUUGGAGUGAAUUAUUUGGAUGAUAACCACUUAGCAGUGUGGGAAGAGAGGUCUGAGUGAUGGAAGUCAAGAGGUGUUCUGUGCAUGCUAUUCAUUAACAUGCACAUUUGUCCCAACCACUAAAACAUAUCAAACUACAUGUUCAAUAUCCACUUCUACCCAAUGCUGAAACCUGUGUUCCAACACAAGUAGCCCUGUACUCUGUUCACAGUCCAUGCCUAUGCCUGAUCAAGGGAUGUUGGUGUCUUUUUGUGCCAAAAUAUUUUGACAUCGUGAAAUUCAUAAUCAUUAUUUCAAAGUUAAAAAUAUAAUUAUAAAAAAUUAAUGAAGGAAAUAAAAUAUUUUGUAGUUAUACUUGAUUGUCCUUGAGAUGCAAACCAUCAAGACCAAAUGACUCUUAUAUUAAAAUAUGUGGACAUUUGAACAGCUCUUCUACACGUAGAUGAAUAUUUUUAGAAUUUUUAAAAGUUGAUGAUGCAUAUACUAGGUGGUUGUCAUAACCUCAAUCUGAUUUUUUUUUUUUUUUGAUUAAGUAAUAAGAUUUAUAUAAUAAUAAUAUUAAAAGUAAAAGAAUAUUUUCAGAAUUUUUAAAAGUUGAUGCAUAUACCAAGGGAUUGUCAUAAACUCAAUCUGAAAAAUAAAUAAACAAAUUUUAGAUUAAAUUAUAUUUGCAUAAGUAAUAAGAGGUCUUAUUUAUAUCCUCAUUUAUUUAUUUAUUGCCUUAGGCCACAUUUCUUGUUGAGCCUCCCUUUGUGUCUUUUGUUUUGUUUUCUUCCCUCCCUGCCCCCUUUUUUAAGCAUUUGAUCCCUAUUAUCGUUCAUCUAAGUUAUUGUUUUGAAUUUGAAUUCUUUUUUUUUUCAAUCGAUAUUCUGACUUCUAUGUUGUUGGUACCAGAAGGAUGGCCUUAGAAGCAACAGCAGUGGAAGUAGCAGUGACUGAUGUAUAUAGAGAUGGGUGAAGCUUAUUAAGUUGGUAUGUGUAGGGACACCCCCCCCCCCCCCCCCCC
rnacentral:lncRNA from 1 species